rnacentral:rRNA from 1 species
AGCGAACGCUGGCGGCAGGCCUAACACAUGCAAGUCGAACGGACCCUUCGGGGUUAGUGGCGGACGGGUGAGUAACACGUGGGAACGUGCCUUUAGGUUCGGAAUAGCUCCUGGAAACGGGUGGUAAUGCCGAAUGUGCCCUUCGGGGGAAAGAUUUAUCGCCAUUAGAGCGGCCCGCGUCUGAUUAGCUAGUUGGUGGUGUAACGGACCACCAAGGCGACGAUCAGUAGCUGGUCUGAGAGGAUGAUCAGCCACAUUGGGACUGAGACACGGCCCAAACUCCUACGGGAGGCAGCAGUGGGGAAUCUUGCGCAAUGGGCGAAAGCCUGACGCAGCCAUGCCGCGUGAAUGAUGAAGGUCUUAGGAUUGUAAAAUUCUUUCACCGGGGACGAUAAUGACGGUACCCGGAGAAGAAGCCCCGGCUAACUUCAUGCCAGCAGCCGCCGUAAGAC